CCCUCCCGUAGGUGAACCUGCGGGAGGGAUCAUUA
rnacentral:rRNA from 1 species